rnacentral:rRNA from 1 species
UACGAAGGGGGCAAGCGUUGUUCGGAAUUACUGGGCGUAAAGGGCGCGUAGGCGGUGCGUUAAGUUAGGCGUGAAAGCCCUGGGCUCAACCCGGGAACUGCGCUUGAUACUGGCGCGCUAGAAUCCAGGAGAGGUUGGUGGAAUUCCCAGUGUAGAGGUGAAAUUCGUAGAGAUUGGGAAGAACACCGGUGGCGAAGGCGGCCAACUGGACUGGUAUUGACGCUGAGGCGCGAAAGCGUGGGGAGCAAACAGG